rnacentral:lncRNA from 1 species
UGCGGCUAUUGAACUGGGCAGCCUUUUGAGCUCAAAAUGUCCCGAACACAGCUUCAAGGCCACACAUCUUAGGGCCGGGGUGCAGAUACACGUGGCCGGCGUGCACGUAUGCUGAUUGCGUGAUAGGUGGUGUUCGAAAUGAGGCAGGUGGCCGUAGGGUAUGUAUGAAGACUGCGCCAAUCCACUAUCUACAUUUUUGCGGAGCAUUG